AGGAGACAGAUCAUGGCCACAGCUUCAGGCACUAUCAGACGGCUGGACGAAGUGGUGGUCAAUCGUAUAGCAGCUGGGGAGGUCAUUCAGCGUCCGGCCAAUGCUCUCAAGGAAAUGAUUGAAAACAGUCUGGAUGCCAAGUCCUCAAACAUCCAGGUGACUGUGAAGCAGGGUGGACUAAAGCUACUCCAAAUUCAAGACAACGGAACAGGGAUCAGGAAAGAAGAUAUGGAGAUUGUUUGUGAAAGAUUUACAACCAGUAAACUCCAGAAGUUUGAGGAUCUUAACUCCAUUGCCACCUAUGGAUUUCGUGGAGAAGCCCUGGCGAGCAUUAGUCAUGUGGCACAUGUAACCAUAACAACCAAAACUGCGGAUUCAAAAUGUGCCUUCAAAGGGAACUAUGUAGAUGGGAAAUUGAAGGAAGCAGUGAAACCUUGUGCUGGAAAUGUGGGGACUCAAAUUACUGUAGAAGAUUUGUUUUACAACAUAUCCACCAGGAGGAAGGCUUUAAAGAGUCCAUCCGAGGAGCAUGCCAAGGUCGCGGAGGUCGUCAGCAGGUAUGCAGUUCAUAAUUGCAGUGUUGGAUUUACCCUGAAAAAGCAAGGGGAGAACACUACCGACAUCCGAACACAAUCGAAAUCUACCCACGUGGACAACAUAAGAACUAUAUAUGGACCAAGUGUUGCCAAAGAACUACUAGAAAUUCAACACAAGGAUGAGAAAUUAUCCUUCAAGUGUCAUGGUUAUGUGAGCAAUGCUAAUUACUCAAUGAAGAAGUGUAUCUUCCUGCUGUUUAUUAACCAUCGCUUGGUAGAUUCUUCAUCUCUACGUAAAGCUGUGGACUCAGUCUUCCAGGCAUAUCUUCCUAAAAACAUGCAUCCCUUUGCGUAUCUUAGUUUGGAGAUUGCUCCUCAAAAUGUGGACGUCAAUGUCCACCCUACGAAGCACGAAGUACACUUCCUCCACGAAGAGGCGAUUAUUUCCAGCAUUCAGUCCGCUGUGGAGGCCAAACUUCUAGGUGCCAACACAAGCAGGACGUACUAUACGCAGGCAUUGUUACCAGGAGCACCCAUAUCUCUAGACAGCAAAGACGAGGAUUCAAAGUCAUCUAAAUCAUGUGGAGGCCCAGAAAAAACAUAUGCACACCACAUGGUGAGGACAGACAGUAAGGAACAGAAGCUGGAGGCCUUCAUCAAGCCGGUCAACUCCACAGAUCUGACGGAGAUCCUCAAAAACGCCACCCAUCCUGACAACGCUCCAGCAAAAACCUCCACUGACGGUGACGUGAUGGUGUUACCCAGUUGUGGAGCCCAGCAGAAGAGGAGGCCUGUGAAGCUCACCAGUGUAUUAACACUUCAGGAAGAGAUCAAAGAAAACCUGCAUAAAAAUCUGAGAGAAAUGUUCCAAUUUCACAAAUUUGUGGGCUGUGUCAAUGAAGAGUUUUCCUUGAUGCAACACCAGACAAAACUGUACUUGGUUAACACGACCAAAUUAAGCCGUGAACUUUUCUACCAGCUGAUGGUAUUUGACUUUGGAAACUUUGGACUACUGCGGCUUUCAGAGCCAGCCCCCAUAUAUGACCUUGCCAUGCUUGCCCUUGACCUAGAAGAGAGUGGAUGGACUGAGGCAGAUGGACCCAAACACGACCUUGCUCAAUAUAUUGUUGAUUUUUUGAAAACGAAAUCUGAGAUGUUAACCGAUUACUUCAGUAUAGAAAUUGACCAGGAUGGUAAUGUGUGCACGCUGCCUUUGUUGUUGGAUAACUAUGUUCCCAACAUGGAGGGGCUUCCCAUGUACCUCCUGAGGCUGGCUACAGAGGUGGAUUGGGACACGGAGAAGGGGUGUUUUCACACGUUCUGUAGGGAGACCAGUGAGUUCUACUGCUUCAAGCCCAGCUUAUUUCAGGACCAGAAAAAAGACUCAACAGAUCCACAGUAGGGCACUGGCUCCAUCUGAUCCCGUGAUAACAGCUUGUGUGUAUAACAGCAGUUACCUUGACAAUGGAGUAUAUGUGAAGAAGAAAGCGGAUCCAAAAAAUCAUGGAAAUGGGUUGUGGAACAUGUUUUAUUUAGUGCAUUCCGGAACCUUUUGUUCCCACCCAAGACUUUUGCGGAGGAUUCCAGUAUUUUACAGAUUGCCAAUUUACCUGAUUUAUACAAAGUAUUUGAAAGAUGUUAAUAAAAUCAUGAUAUACCUCA